CCGGGGAAAGGAACGGUUCUGGCCGUUAACGGAUGAACUUCCUCGGCGGUGCGGAAAGAAAAGGGGGGCCUCCAGGAGAAUGGCCCAUAGGGUCCCCGUUCCCUGCCCAGUGGAGCUUGGCAAGGUGAAAAAUGACUCCCUGGAAGCUCGGUUACACGAAUAUGUGAGGCAAGGGAAUUAUGUGAAAGUGAAGAAGCUGCUGAAAAAGGGAGCUGGACAUGCUGAGUUGGAAGUAGAGGCUGUGAAGAUGAUUGGAUCAUCUUCUCAAAUAAGAGGGCUUCAAAUCGCAUCCUUCCUUGGGAGUGCAGCAGCGCUUUUUCUGGUGCACCCUGUUUGCAAAA